CGCCCCUGAGCUCUGAGAGGCCGGAGCAGGGCUGGGAGCCUCUCGGGGGGGUCUUCGGUACCGUUGGAAGCACCCCCUGCGUUGUGGUAUAAGUGCAAAUUGCACCUACUUUCCGUCUGCUGUUCCCUUGUUUGACAGGUAUGACAAGUAUAAACAUGGAGGUGAUGUCUAUGAGGAAUCCCAAGUGAAACAGGACCAAUACUGAUGAAAGCUUGGUGUUCAAACCUGAAGAUGAUGUGUUGGAGACCUCUGCAGCGGCAACUGCUGAAAGAUCUGCAUUUGACCUGGAGCAGUUCCAGCAGCACUUGUACAUGUAUGCUACCAAGAGGUUUGAGUACAUCUCUGUCUACAAAGUGAGUUGGUUUUUAGGAGCAGUUGAUUACAAUAUGCACUUGAAUCGGCA